AGUGAACGCUGGCGAUAGGCCUAACACAUGCAAGUCGAACGGCAGCACAGUAAGAGCUUGCUCUUACGGGUGGCGAGUGGCGGGCGGGUGAGGAAUACAUCGGAAUCUACUUUUUCGUGGGGGAUAACGUAGGGAAACUUACGCUAAUACCGCAUACGACCUACGGGUGAAAGCAGGGGAUCUUCGGACCUUGCGCGAUUGAAUGAGCCGAUGUCGGAUUAGCUAGUUGGCGGGGUAAAGGCCCACCAAGGCGACGAUCCGUAGCUGGUCUGAGAGGAUGAUCAGCCACACUGGAACUGAGACACGGUCCAGACUCCUACGGGGGGCAGCAGUGGGGAAUAUUGGACAAUGGGCGCAAGCCUGAUCCAGCCAUACCGCGUGGGUGAAGAAGGCCUUCGGGUUGUAAAGCCCUUUUGUUGGGAAAGAAAAGCAGCAGGUUAAUACCCCGCUGUUCUGACGGUACCCAAAGAAUAAGCACCGGCUAACUUCGUG
rnacentral:rRNA from 1 species